rnacentral:rRNA from 4 species
GGGUUGUGAGGUUAAGCGACUAAGCGUACACGGUGGAUGCCCUGGCAGUCAGAGGCGAUGAAGGGCGUGCUAAUCUGCGAUAAGC